rnacentral:lncRNA from 12 species
UAAAAGGCUGCCACGGCAGUGGUCCGAAGUUUCAUUUGAAAUGCUGAUGUGCAUUUGAAGAGGAGAAAUACAAACACCAUCAAACUCAGAUGCAGAGAGCAGAGAGAAUGGAGAGUGUACAAGAGAACCCACUGCCAGAUGCUUUCCCCCCAAAUCCCAUAGCUGCAAAGAAGGCAGCACCACAAUAAAAUUGGUAUCAGAAACUGACUUAGGAGCUCUGAUUGUUCUCUCCUGUGGACUGAUGUGCGUUUUCUUUGGUUUUCUUCUGAGCCUGCUUUUCCUGUAGUUCACACAUUGAGUGGAGAAGGAAGUUCAGGGAAGAAGGGAAGUUCAGGGAAGGGAAGUUCAGGGAAAAGUUCAGGGAAGAAGGAAGUUCAGGGAAGGGAAGUUCAGGGAAGGGAAGUUCAGGGAAGUUCAGGGAAGUUCAGGGAAGGGAAGUUCAGGGAAGUUCAGGGAAGUUCAGGGAAGGGAAGUUCAGGGAAGUUCAGGGAAGUUCAGGGAAGGGAAGUUCAGGGAAGAGAAGUUCAGGGAAGGGAAGGGAAGGGAAGUUCAGGGAAGGAAAGUUCAGGGAAGGGAAAGGAAGUUCAGGGAAGUUCAGGGAAGUUCAGGGAAGGGAAGUUCAGGGAAGUUCAGGGAAGUUCAAGGAAGGGAAGUUCAGGGAAGGGAAGUUCAGGGAAGGGAAGGGAAGGGAAGGGAAGGGAAGGGAAGGGAAGGGAAGGGAAGGGAAGGGAAGGGAAGGGAAGGGAAGGGAAGGGAAGGGAAGGGAAGGGAAGGGAAGGGAAGGGAAGGGAAGGGAAGGGAAGGGAAGGGAAGGGAAGGGAAGGGAAGGGAAGGGAAGGGAAGGGAAGGGAAGGGAAGGGAAGGGAA